UUUGAUUUGUAUACACUAUAUAUACAGUUAUGCUAAGUUGCUAACUAUGGAGAAAUGUAUCUGGAUAAAGAACACUGCAGCAUAUAUGAAACUACACAGUGACAGCCGGAGUUGAAAGCUCAGGCAACCCACUUUGGCCAUUCAGUACAAUCACCUUCCCCUCCGAAUCCACAUCGACAAUGGCGGAAUCGCCCUCCUUCACCUCCCCAGCUAGCAUCUUCUCCGCGAGG
rnacentral:misc_RNA from 1 species